AUUGAACGCUGGCGGCAGGCCUAACACAUGCAAGUCGAGCGGAUGAAGGGAGCUUGCUCCUGGAUUCAGCGGCGGACGGGUGAGUAAUGCCUAGGAAUCUGCCUGGUAGUGGGGGAUAACGUCCGGAAACGGGCGCUAAUACCGCAUACGUCCUGAGGGAGGAAGUGGGGGAUCUUCGGACCUCACGCUAUCAGAUGAGCCUAGGUCGGAUUAGCUAGUUGGUGGGGUAAAGGCCUACCAAGGCGACGAUCCGUAGCUGGUCUGAGAGGAUGAUCAGUCACACUGGAACUGAGACACGGUCCAGACUCCUACGGGAGGCAGCAGUGGGGAAUAUUGGACAAUGGGCGAAAGCCUGAUCCAGCCAUGCCGCGUGUGUGAAGAAGGUCUUCGGAUUGUAAAGCACUUUAAGUUGGGAGGAAGGGCAGUAAGUUAAUACCUUGCUGUUUUGACGUUACCAACAGAAUAAGCACCGGCUAACUUCGUG
rnacentral:rRNA from 1 species